GGUGUUUUCUAUUCUUCGGCUGUGCAGUCAGUACUGCAGCUGUGGCCCUGCUUACCCUGAGUUUUCUGUGACUUUUAGGUGCUCUGAGCCUCGUGUUUGAUGAGUAGUUUGUUCUGGUUUCACAUGCAAGUCAUGUUUCUUGGGUUUAUCAGGUCUGUUCUGAGAAAGAGGAUGUAAUCCUUACAGCAGUGUAUAAAAUUAUCUGAAACUGAUUGAAGGCCAGCUGGAAUUCAGAGCACAGUUUUGUCAGUUUAUCUGAAGUUGAUGAGAAAGAGCUUGGGCUUGCCCUCAGACUAAGAAGUGAUGGGACACAGGUUUGCCAGUUUUCAUGACUGGCUUGCAUGGGGCUUUAUUGCAGGAUCAUUUAGGAUGGAUGCUUUCCCUUUGUUUUAUAUCUUUUCAGAAGUUCUGCAGAUAGCAGCAUUUACAAAUCAAGCUUCCUGUCCAUGCUCUUGCUUCUUUGCAUCAGGUCUGUCUGGCAGCUUCUGAUCAGAUUGUAGUAGUUGGUGUUGUCAGAAGCAACUUUUGUUAUCCUCUCAGCAGAAGUGAUCAGAAAACCAUGGCAGAAGAAAGAUCAGCUGAAUAAGCUUCUAACAGUCUAAUAAGGGAUUCUAGCUUUUGAGUGGAAAUGUGUCUGGGUGUAUUACUGUGAACCUUCCCCCAUUAAAUGAAGAUUCAGGACUUCAAAAUAAAACAUCUCUAAAAGCAUAAGACCACCUCUUUUCUUUGAUAAAUAUGUGAAAAUUCAUGUGAACUGGUGGUCUGUCUAUACAAAUAAAGUGGGAGAGGGAAGAAUA